AUUGAACGCUGGCGGCAGGCCUAACACAUGCAAGUCGAACGGUAACAGGAAGAAGCUUGCUUCUUUGCUGACGAGUGGCGGACGGGUGAGUAAUGUCUGGGAAACUGCCUGAUGGAGGGGGAAAACUACUGGAAAGGUUAGCUAAUACCCCAUAACGUCGCAAGACCAAAGGGGGGGACCUUCGGGCCUCUUGCAUUCGAUUGGGCCCAGAUGGGAUUAGCUAGUAGGUGGGGUAACGGCUCACCUAGGCGACGAUCCCUAGCUGGUCUGAGAGGAUGACCAGCCACACUGGAACUGAGACACGGUCCAGACUCCUACGGGAGGCAGCAGUGGGGAAUAUUGCACAAUGGGCGCAAGCCUGAUGCAGCCAUGCCGCGUGUAUGAAGAAGGCCUUCGGGUUGUAAAGUACUUUCAGCGGGGAGGAAGGGAGUAAAGUUAAUACCUUUGCUCAUUGACGUUACCCGCAGAAGAAGCACCGGCUAACUCCGUG
rnacentral:rRNA from 1 species